rnacentral:rRNA from 1 species
CGGUUGAGAGAAGGGAUGACACAGUAGGAUAAGCUAAGCACACUGUUGGUUAUGUGUGCCCAAGCAUUGAGGCAGUCAAAGUAGGCAAAUCCGCUUUGAUAAUGCUGGGAUGUGAUGGGGAGCGAAAGUUAGUAGCGAAGUAGCUGAUUUCACACUGUCAAGAAAAGUCUCUAUCGAGGUUAAAGGUACCCGUACCGCAAACCGACACAGGUG